rnacentral:rRNA from 1 species
AUUGAACGCUGGCGGCAUGCCUUACACAUGCAAGUCGAACGGCAGCACGGGAGCAAUCCUGGUGGCGAGUGGCGAACGGGUGAGUAAAGUAUCGGAACGUGCCCAGUCGUGGGGGAUAACGUAGCGAAAGUUACGCUAAUACCGCAUACGAUCUAUGGAUGAAAGCGGGGGAUCGCAAGACCUCGCGCGAUUGGAGCGGCCGAUAUCAGAUUAGGUAGUUGGUGGGGUAAAGGCUCACCAAGCCGACGAUCUGUAGCUGGUCUGAGAGGACGCACAGCCACACUGGGACAGAGACACGGCCCAGACUCCUACGGGAGGCAGCAGUGGGGAAUUUUGGACAAUGGGCGCAAGCCUGAUCCAGCCAUGCCGCGUGCAGGAUGAAGGCCUUCGGGUUGUAAACUGCUUUUGUACGGAACGAAAAGGUUUGACUUAAUACGUUGGACUCAUGACGGUACCGUAAGAAUAAGCACCGGCUAACUACGUGCCAGCCGCCGCCGUAA